AAGAUUAUUUUGUGUAGGAUGUAUGGAUAGGCUGACUGUGGGUUAUGACAGUGAGUUCGAAACAAUAUUCAGGUGCAGAAGUAUUAGAGGUAAAGAUUCAAAGACACAAAGUAACGAACGGGGAAUAUUACAACGUUUUCAUUGCACCAAAAGAAAUUCGUCAAGUGUCAGGUUUUCAUCACUGAGUGAGAUGGAGGCCUAUCAAGUCUGAAGAGCAACUUUCUGAAACACUUCUUGAAAGCGGAAAAGACAAUUCAUUAUUAUAUCUAAAGACGUGCGAAGUUAUUUGUCCGAUUAUGCAUCACUGUGAGAGGUGGCUGCUUCGAGUCUAAAGAGCAAUUUUCUAAAACACUACUUGAAAGAGUCAUUGUAUCAAACGGAAUCGACAUUGUUAAUAGUCUGGUGCAUCACGGAGUGAGAUGGAAGCCUAUAUAGUCUAAAGAGUAAAGAGCAAUUUUCUAAAACACUACUUGAAAGAGUCAUUGUAUCAAAGGGAAUCGACAUUGUUAAUAGUCUGGUGCAUCACGGAGUGAGAUGGAAGCCUAUAUAGUCUAAAGAGUAAAGAGCAAUUUUCUAAAACACUACUUGAAAGAGUCAUUGUAUCAAAGGGAAUCGACAUUGUUAAUAGUCUGGUGCAUCACGGAGUGAGAUGGAAGCCUAUA